rnacentral:misc_RNA from 1 species
AUAAGAUGCCGAAGGGAGACAAGUUCCAACCCGGAGAGCUGGUGUUCGCGAAGGUGAAGGGGUAUCCUCCAUGGCCGGCUAGAAUUACGGGCAUGUCAUCGAAAGAUAGGUAUAAGAUCUAUUUCUACGGAACAUAUGAGACUGCUAGCCUGAAGAAUGAAGAUAUUUGGAGAUAUUCUCAAGAAAUCAAAGAGAAAUUCGCUCCAAAGAACAUGAAGAGGAAAGGAUAUCCGGAAGGAUUGGAUCAGAUUGAGAAUACUCCGGAAAUAGCUGCUGUAGAUGAUGAUAUAAACUUCGAGGAUCUGAACACUACAGUUGAAGCAUCAAUGGUUGAAUCUCCUCUACCUCCUUCUAGUAAAAAGAAGGUUGAGAAGCCUGUAGCUAAACAAGAAACUCCUAAACCAGAAAUAGGAAAAUCCACCAAACCAGAGAUGAGUAAAUCCGCCAAAAUCGAAACUUCCAAAUCUUCCAAGGUUUCCACACCCAAAGAACCUGCUAAACCUGAGACUAAACCUGGAAAACGAAAAGCAGUGGACGGAGCAGGAGACUCUAAACCUAAAGCUGACUCUGACACUCCAAAGACGGCCAAGAAGGCCAAGAUAGACGAGGAGCCGGUCGACGAAUCGGCUGAGAAGACCAGUCGAAGCGGACGAGUUAUCAAGCCUAAACGGUUUGGAACGGAUAUCAGUACGCCGACAAGGAACACAGAUACAGAUAGUGACAGUCAAGGUGAGGGAGAAAAGAAGCUGAGAAAACCACCCACUAAAAAGGGAACGAGUAAGACUGAAGUAGAAGAAGAAAAGGAAAACGCGGUCGGAAACAAAACCCCGCAGAAAAUGACCGGAAGUGGAGACGGUGUAUCACCGUCUAAGACCACUAGAACACCGGAAGAAGAGAAAGCAAGGAAGCUUGAGAAACGGAAAAGUAAACUAAGGUGGCUGAAAAUUGAACAAAGAUUAGUGGAACUAGAUAUUGCGAUUAAAUCCUCCCUUCAUCUAGAAAGACCCUCCCCUGACAGGUGUAUCUCAGCUCUAGAAGAACUGAAUGAGCUCUCUUUAGCUCCUUUUAUGCUCAAAAAACAACCUGACAUUGUAACAACAGUUCGACGGCUCCGGAAAUAUAUUGGUCCUCACAGCUUCAAUACCUGGCCAGAUCAGGAUCAAAGGAAGAAGAUGGAAACAUCUAUUGAGAAAAUACAGAAGAAAGCUGAUCAGAUUUAUAACAAGUUUAAAUCUUAUUUUGCUUACCAGGGAGAGAAACCGUUCUCCCAAAUGUUUGAAGAAGAGGUUCAUGAGUUCAGAAGAGUUACUCAGGGUAUGGACGAGAGUAAGGUUCUGAGUAUGAUCCGGGAUCCUUGCCAGGAGGCGGAAGUUUCAGACGAGGAUUAAACCUGGCUUCAACAUUAAACUGAUCUUAAGCCUGGGUUUUGUUUAAUCUCCUCCCUGUAUCUCGCCUCACAGUUCAAACACUCAGUACCUUGCCCAGUCUUCUCUUUAAAACGCUAUCAAUGAAUCAAACCUGGGAUUAAACUUAAAUCAACUUUUAAUAGUUCUACAAUUAGACAUAUUACGGUCUAAUAGCAUCAAUCAAUUAUCUCAAGCAUCCUCUGCUAUCCCAGUAGUUUGUUAUUUCUUUAACAUUAAUUAUUCUU